GUCUAUGGCCAUACCACCCUGAACGCGCCCGAUCUCGUCUGAUCUCGGAAGCUAAGCAGGGUCAGGCCUGGUUAGUACUUGGAUGUGAAAACUUCAUUAUUUUUAGUUAAGAUACAACAGAGU
rnacentral:rRNA from 1 species